rnacentral:lncRNA from 1 species
GUACGUACCCGAACCUGUAAUUGCUCUAAAAAGGGUCCAAAUGCAUAUGAAAGACUCUAAAAACAUGUACAAACCAUGGCUAAAAGUGGGUGAAAUCCAUGGUCUAUCAACUCCCCAGACUUACUCUUUUGCUUGUCCUUAAGCAAAACAUACUAGAGCAGUCUCUCUAAGAGAGGUUUGAAAACAGCGGGGACUAACAGAGUUAAAACUUAGAAUCAUCACUUCUAUAAUAUUGCUAACCAUAUCAAAGGAAUCCUAACUUUAGAAGCACAUCAUACAUUAUCCUAGUAUAGCAACUAAAUACAACUAGCCAGCAACUCAACAGAUCUUGUCUGACUUUCUCCUCCACUAACCUCAUUUCUUGCAUAAAUAAAAAGUGUAGCCUCAAUCUUGGGAGUAUCGAUCAAGGUACACAUGGAUUCUUACUCCAGCAAGUAUCUGAGUAAUCAGGUAGUCUUAUUUUGGUUUCUUUUCUCUAUAUCUCUCUUCUCUGUAUCUCUAAAAUCAUCAUAAUUUUCUUUUUCUUUUUUCUUUUUUCUUUUUUUUCUUUUUUUACAAAGUGUAGCGAAUACCGGUCACAGGAGACACUCCUACCCUUC